CCUACGGGUGGCAGCAGUGAGGAAUAUUGGUCAAUGGGCGAGAGCCUGAACCAGCCAAGUCGCGUGAAGGAUGACGGCCCUACGGGUUGUAAACUUCUUUUGUCAGGGAGCAAUUUAGUCCACGUGUGGUCUUAGCUAGAGUACCUGAAGAUAAAGCAUCGGCUAACUCCGUGCCAGCAGCCGCGGUAAUACGGAGGAUGCGAACGUUAUCCGGAUUUAUUGGGUUUAAAGGGUGCGUAGGCGGAAUAUCAAGUCAGCGGUAAAAAUUCGGGGCUAAACCCCGUCGUGCCGUUGAAACUGAGGUUCUUGAGUGGGCGAGAAGUAUGCGGAAUGCGUGGUGUAGCGGUGAAAUGCAUAGAUAUCACGAAGAACUCCGAUUGCGAAGGCAGCAUACCGGCGCACAACUGACGCUGAAGCACGAAAGCGUGGGUAUCGAACAGGAUUAGAUACCCGUGUAGUC
rnacentral:rRNA from 1 species